rnacentral:lncRNA from 1 species
AAAGUUACGCCACGUCAAUUGCCCAGUCAGCAGUCCUGACCAAUCAGGACGCACCAGGUGGCAGAGGUGCUGAUGCAGGAGACCACGCAGGGGGAGUCACAUGGGCGAUUCAUGUGCGUGCGAUCGAACGGUUGAGAUCUAUUCUCGCGCGCACGGACAGUCCAGAUCGAAAACGCGCACGGACAGCACAGAUUGCAUCGUGCACGGACGGUACAGAUUGAAUCGCGCACGGACGGCGCAGAUUGAAUCGCGCACGGACGGCGCAGAUUGAAUCGCGCACGGACGGCGCAGAUUGAAUCGC